rnacentral:misc_RNA from 1 species
ACUGAUCAUCUCAUACAGAUGGCUGUUGCUCAUGUUCUGCCAGAAACACACCAUCGUCUUUGUAAAUGGAGCGUAAUUCGAGAAACCAAGGAGAAGCUGACUCAUGUAUGUCAAGCACAUCCAACCUUUGAAACUGAAUUUAUGAAGUGUGUUAAUGGAAGUGAGACAAUCGAGGAAUUUGAAUUUCAGUGGAAGUCAUUCCUAGAAAGAUAUUACCUCACGGAUAAUGAAUACCUCCAAUCAAUUUAUAGUGCUCGCCAUCACUGGGUUCCUGUUUUCAUGCGAGAGACAUUUGUUGGG